GAGAUGUUCAACGAGCAGGUGUCCACAUACUUUUGGUCAUGUAGUGUAUGUUGAAUGAUAAAUAUUCAAGGCUGACAGUCUACACAUAUUACAGAUUAAUAGAAAGCUUUACAGAGAAUCUAGGAUAAACCAGACAUUUUGCUAAAAGUAUCAAGAGUUUUAGACAUUGUCAACAACAGUUUCCUGUUGAAAAGCUUCAUUUCCUGCUGCUCAAAUCAUUUUUCCUUCUCAAAUCAGGUGUCGUCAACAACGUAAAAGGAAUUGAUGCUAUAAGCCCGUCUUCUAAAGAUGACUUCACAGAGUUUGAAAAGUUGUUAAAAGACAAGAUAUCACCUUUCCAGAGUUCAAAACACUAUUCCGGCUUCCUGGAGUCCUUGUUUCGAGACCUCUGUCUCUCAUUGGAGGUGGAAGACUUGAAAAGAGUCAGCAACUCCCUCACAGUCUUACUAAGUGAGAAACAGAAACAGGAAAAGCAGCUGAAUAAAGGACAA